UGAUCCUGGCUCAGGACGAACGCUGGCGGCGUGCCUAAUACAUGCAAGUCGAACGCUUCUUUCCUCCCGAGUGCUUGCACUCAAUUGGAAAGAGAAGUGGCGGACGGGUGAGUAACACGUGGGUAACCUACCCAUCAGAGGGGGAUAACACUUGGAAACAGGUGCUAAUACCGCAUAACAGUUUAUGCCGCAUGGCAUAAGAGUGAAAGGCGCUUUCGGGUGUCGCUGAUGGAUGGACCCGCGGUGCAUUAGCUAGUUGGUGAGGUAACGGCUCACCAAGGCCACGAUGCAUAGCCGACCUGAGAGGGUGAUCGGCCACACUGGGACUGAGACACGGCCCAGACUCCUACGGGAGGCAGCAGUAGGGAAUCUUCGGCAAUGGACGAAAGUCUGACCGAGCAACGCCGCGUGAGUGAAGAAGGUUUUCGGAUC
rnacentral:rRNA from 1 species